AAAAAAAAAUUGUGUAGCUUUUCAAUUAAAAAGAGUUAUACAAAAGAAAGAAAGAAGGUAAAUGAGGUGGGUUUGAAGCUUUGGAUAUCCUGAUAGGAAAAAAGUAGUGAAGCUGCGAGGGAAGUCAUAGGCUGUUUCUGAAAAAUCUGCAACCUGAAAGGAGGUGGGCUUGAAGAUCAAAUUCUCCUAAGAAUGCAUGGCAGGGUUAAAAAGUCACAGGUUGGUUUCCUAAAAAAUCUCCAACCAGUGAAAGAAUCUGAGUGGGUGGACCAAAAACCAACUGUAAAAUAGCAAACAUAGAGAAAGAUCAAGAAAGAGACAGAGACCACCAUGCUAUAUAUUCCACAGCUGGAGAUGGACCUAUCAGUCUUGAUCCUUCCAAAAGAAUGGCUUCAGUGGAAAAGAAGAGGAGGAAGAAGAAGAAGCUGAGCCCAUGUUGUCCUGUUGUCUCUGCACGGCAGAAGAAUCAUUGAACUGUUG
rnacentral:misc_RNA from 1 species